AAAAGAGAAAAAUUUAGGCUGCUAACUUAAAUUAGGGCUAUUUUGUCCCUCUUUUU
rnacentral:tRNA from 1 species